rnacentral:rRNA from 1 species
AUGGUUAAGCUAUUAAGAGCACACGGAGGAUGCCUAGGCACCAGGAGCCGAUGAAGGACGUGGCGAACAACGAUAUGCUUCGGGGAGCUGUAAGCAAGCUUUGAUCCGGAGAU